UUAUCAUAAAAGGAAAGUGAUAAAAAAAAAUAAUAAUAAUGGCCUCACAAAAAUUUCAACUUGCUUUUAUGAUCUUAUUUGUUUUUCUUCUAGUCUCUCAAUCAAAUGGUGCUACAUGUAAUUACAAAGGCCCUUGUAAAACCGAUGCUGAUUGCAAGAACAUAUGCACUUCCUCAAUUGAAGAUCCAACUUUUUUAAUGUGCUUUGCUAAUAACCCACCAAAUGGAAUAUGUUGUUGUUUAGUAAGAUCAUGAUACAUAUCGGUCGAUAUAUUUGUAUGGUUAUAUCAUUACCUAUCAUUAUAAAUUAAUAAAAACCAGUAUUUAAUAAAUUAUGGCA